rnacentral:rRNA from 1 species
UGCGNNUGGGCGAAGCCUGACGCAGCAACGCCGCGUGGGGGAUGAAGCUUCUCGGAGUGUAAACCCCUUUCGACCCGGACGAAUGCCCGCAAGGGUUUGACGGUACGGGUAUAAGAAGCACCGGCUAACUUCGUGCCAGCAGCCGCGGUAAUACGAAGGGGGCUAGCGUUGCUCGGAAUGACUGGGCGUAAAGGGCGCGUAGGCGGCUUGUAUAGUCAGGCGUGAAAUUCCUGGGCUCAACCUGGGGGCUGCGCUUGAUACGUAUAGGCUUGAGUGGGGAAGAGGGUCGUGGAAUUCCCAGUGUAGAGGUGAAAUUCGUAGAUAUUGGGAAGAACACCGGUGGCGAAGGCGGCGACCUGGUCCUCGACUGACGCUGAGGCGCGAAAGCGUGGGGAGCAAACAGGAUUAGAUACCCUGGUAGUCCACGCCGUAAACGAUGUGCGCUGGAUGUUGGGGGGCCUAGCCCUUCAGUGUCGUAGCCAACGCGAUAAGCGCACCGCCUGGGGAGUACGGCCGCAAGGUUGAAACUCAAAAAAAUUGACGGA